rnacentral:rRNA from 1 species
GACAGAGGCCCCAAGCGUUAGGCGGAAUCACUGGGCUUAAAGCGUGUGUAGGCGGAUCGUUAAGUGUCUUGUGAAAUCCCACGGCUCACCCGUGGAACUGCUGGGCAUACUGGCGAUCUUGGGCCAACUAGGGGCAGCCGGAACAAGCGGUGGAGCGGUGAAAUGCGUAGAUAUCGCUUGGAACGCCGACGGUGAAACAGGUUGCUGGGGAUGUGCCGACGUGAGACACGAAAGCCAGGGGAGCAAACGGG